rnacentral:lncRNA from 1 species
AAACCAUGCAAAAACAUCUAAAGGUGACCUAGGGUGUGUCCUAGUGUGCUAGGGCAAACGAAGUGGACUAAGUGUGCUUAAAAGCUAUCCUAAAAAAAAAAACAAGAAAAGCCUAAGUCUAAAUUAGGGCUGCCAAGGGUCACAAUAAGGGAUCAAAUAAUCCCUCAACCAAAAUCUCCAAGGUGACUCAGAAAAAGGUAAGUGGUAUGAGUAGCCAUGGGCCACCGAUAUCACCCGAUUUAAUGUUAAUUGUGUUUCCCGAAAUGAGAGUAGUUGCAUCCUGCUCAAUCCACUUUUAGUUUCUGAAGCCAUUGUUCACCAACUGGUAAGUUAUCCAUUGUUCCAGCAAGACUCAAAAUUGGCACAGUGACUGUAAACUCAACCAUGUAGUCUAAGUGAGUUGCAGCAGCAUGAGGCCCAUAUUUCCAGUUGCUUCCCAACAUUGCUGAACGGAUCUCACCAUCAAACCUCAUGAGACCUGUUGGACCUACUGGAAUAGAGAAAUGAUAACCCAGGUAAUCAGAACAACCUUUCCUGUUCAAGGUGUCCCAGAAAAA